rnacentral:tRNA from 1 species
GCCGACGUAGCUCAGCGGUAGAGCAAUCGCCUUGUAAGCGAUAGGUCAUCGGUUCAAAUCCGAUCGUCGGCU